GCCGCGGUAGCCUCGACGGAAGAGGCGUCACCAGCACUAAUGGCGAAAGUCGCAGGUUCAAAUCCUGCCUGCGGUA